AGAGCCUUAUACAGGCUCAGGAUGAACGCUGGCGGCGUGCCUAAUACAUGCAAGUCGAACGCUUCACUUCGGUGAAGAAGUGGCGAACGGGUGAGUAAUACAUAAGUAACCUGGCAUCUACAGGGGGAUAACUGAUGGAAACGUCAGCUAAGACCGCAUAGGUGUAGAGAUCGCAUGAACUCUAUAUGAAAAGUGCUACGGGACUGGUAGAUGAUGGACUUAUGGCGCAUUAGCUUGUUGGUAGGGUAACGGCCUACCAAGGCGACGAUGCGUAGCCGACCUGAGAGGGUGACCGGCCACACUGGGACUGAGACACGGCCCAGACUCCUACGGGAGGCAGCAGUAGGGAAUUUUCGGCAAUGGGGGAAACCCUGACCGAGCAACGCCGCGUGAAGGAAGAAGUAAUUCGUUAUGUAAACUUCUGUCAUAGAGGAAGAACGGUGGAUAUAGGGAAUGAUAUCCAAGUGACGGUACUCUAUAAGAAAGCCACGGCUAACUACGUGCCAGCAGCCGCGGUAAUACGUAGGUGGCGAGCGUUAUCCGGAAUUAUUGGGCGUAAAGAGGGAGCAGGCGGCACUAAGGGUCUGUGGUGAAAGAUCGAAGCUUAACUUCGGUAAGCCAUGGAAACCGUAGAGCUAGAGUGUGUGAGAGGAUCGUGGAAUUCCAUGUGUAGCGGUGAAAUGCGUAAAUAUAUGGAGGAACACCAGUGGCGAAGGCGACGAUCUGGCGCAUAACUGACGCUCAGUCCCGAAAGCGUGGGGAGCAAAUAGGAUUAGAUACCCUAGUAGUCCACGCCGUAAACGAUG
rnacentral:rRNA from 1 species